rnacentral:rRNA from 1 species
GUGGGGAAUUUUGGACAAUGGGGGCAACCCUGAUCCAGCAAUGCCGCGUGCAGGAAGAAGGCCUUCGGGUUGUAAACUGCUUUUGUACGGAACGAAACGGUCCUGGUUAAUACCUGGGGCUAAUGACGGUACCGUAAGAAUAAGCACCGGCUAACUACGUGCCAGCAGCCGCGGUAAUACGUAGGGUGCAAGCGUUAAUCGGAAUUACUGGGCGUAAAGCGUGCGCAGGCGGUUUUGUAAGACAGGCGUGAAAUCCCCGGGCUCAACCUGGGAAUGGCGCUUGUGACUGCAAGGCUGGAGUGCGGCAGAGGGGGAUGGAAUUCCGCGUGUAGCAGUGAAAUGCGUAGAUAUGCGGAGGAACACCGAUGGCGAAGGCAAUCCCCUGGGCCUGCACUGACGCUCAUGCACGAAAGCGUGGGGAGCAAACAGGAUUAGAUACCCCUGUAGUCC